AACGAACGCUGGCGGCAGGCCUAACACAUGCAAGUCGAGCGCCCUUUCGGGGGAGCGGCGGACGGGUGAGUAACGCGUGGGAAUAUGCCCUUCUCUACGGAAUAGCCUCGGGAAACUGAGAGUAAUACCGUAUACGCCCCUUGGGGGAAAGAUUUAUCGGGGAAGGAUUAGCCCGCGUUGGAUUAGGUAGUUGGUGGGGUAAUGGCCUACCAAGCCGACGAUCCAUAGCUGGUUUGAGAGGAUGAUCAGCCACACUGGGACUGAGACACGGCCCAGACUCCUACGGGAAGCAGCAGUGGGGAAUCUUAGACAAUGGGGGCAACCCUGAUCUAGCCAUGCCGCGUGAGUGAUGAAGGCCUUAGGGUUGUAAAGCUCUUUCAGCUGGGAAGAUAAUGACGGUACCAGCAGAAGAAGCCCCGGCUAACUCCGUG
rnacentral:rRNA from 1 species